GUUGAAAUGCAGCGUGCAGUGCGCAGUGCAGGACGUCUCGACCCGAGCUGCCUCUGCAGUGACUCUGAUGCGUGAUAAGCUGAGGUGGUGUGGAUGAUACUGGCUGCACUAUUGGAGCUUGGUCUCAGAGAGGAACAGCUGAUGAUGAGCCUGGCAAUUGACUAAGAUGACAAUCAGUGCCUGUGUAUUUCUUGAGGCGGA